rnacentral:rRNA from 1 species
CCUACGGGGGGCUGCAGUGGGGAAUAUUGCACAAUGGGGGAAACCCUGAUGCAGCGACGCCGCGUGAGUGAAGAAGUAUCUCGGUACGUAAAGCUCUAUCAGCAGGGAAGAACAUUACGGUACCUGACUAAUAGGCCCCGGCUAACUACGUGCCAGCAGCCGCGGUAAUACGUAGGGGGCAAGCGUUAUCCGGAUUUACUGGGGGUAAAGGGAGCGUAAAAGGCAGUACAAAUCUGGAGUGAAGUCCCUGGGCUUAACCCCGGAACUGCUUUGGACACUGGGCGGCUGGAGUGCAGGAGGGGUAAGCGGAAUUCCGAGUGAAGCGGUGAAAUGCGUAGAUAUUAGGAGGAACACCGGUGGCGAAGGCGGCUUACUGGACCGUAACUGACGUUGAGGCUCGAAAGCGUGGGGAGCAAACAGGAUUAGAUACCCGGGUAGUC